rnacentral:rRNA from 1 species
GAUGAACGCUAGCGGCAGGCUUAACACAUGCAAGUCGAGGGGCAGCGAGGGUAGCAAUACCUGUCGGCGACCGGCGGAAGGGUGAGUAACGAGUGAGCAACAUACCCGUAUCAGUGGGAUAAUACAGGGAAACUUGUUCUAAUAUCGCAUAAUAUUAUUCAGAGGCAUCUUUGGAUAAUUAAAGUUACGGCGGAUACGGAAUGGCUCGCGUGACAUUAGCUAGAUGGUAGGGUAAUGGCCUACCAUGGCGAUGAUGUCUAGGGGUUCUGAGAGGGAGGUCCCCCACACUGGAACUGAGACACGGUCCAGACUCCUACGGGAGGCAGCAGUGAGGAAUAUUGGACAAUGGAUGGAAAUCUGAUCCAGCCAUGCCGCGUGCAGGAAGCGGCCCUAUGGGUUGUAAACUGCUUUUGUACGGGAGCAAUAAGGUCUACGAGUAGAUUGAUGAGAGUACUGUACGAAUAAGCAUCGGCUAAC